rnacentral:rRNA from 1 species
GGGAACUCAAAGGAGACUGCCAGUGAUAAACUGGAGGAAGGUGGGGAUGACGUCAAGUCAUCAUGGCCCUUACGACCAGGGCUACACACGUGCUACAAUGGCAUAUACAAAGAGAAGCGACCUCGCGAGAGCAAGCGGACCUCAUAAAGUAUGUCGUAGUCCGGAUUGGAGUCUGCAACUCGACUCCAUGAAGUCGGAAUCGCUAGUAAUCGUAGAUCAGAAUGCUACGGUGAAUACGUUCCCGGGCCUUGUACACACCGCCCGUCACACCAUGGGAGUGGGUUGCAAAAGAAGUAGGUAGCUUAACCUUCGGGAGGGCGCUUACCACUUUGUGAUUCAUGACUGGGGUGAAGUCGUAACAAGGUAACCGUAGGGGAACCUGCGGUUGGAUCACCUCCUU